rnacentral:rRNA from 1 species
AUUGAACGCUGGCGGCAUGCUUUACACAUGCAAGUCGAACGGUAACGGGUUAAGCUGACGAGUGGCGAACGGGUGAGUAAUGCAUCGGAACGUGCCCGAUCGUGGGGGAUAACGCAGCGAAAGCUGCGCUAAUACCGCAUACGAUCUGAGGAUGAAAGCGGGGGACCGUAAGGCCUCGCGCGAUCGGAGCGGCCGAUGUCAGAUUAGGUAGUUGGUGGGGUAAAGGCCCACCAGGCCGACGAUCUGUAGCUGGUCUGAGAGGACGACAAGCCACACAGGGACUGGGACAAGGCCCAGACUCCUACGGGAGGCAGCAGUGGGGAAUUUUGGACAAUGGGCGAAAGCCUGACCCAGCAAUGCAGCGUGCAGGAAGAAGGCCUUCGGGUUGUAAACUGCUUUUGUACGGAGCGAAAAGGUCCUUUCUAAUACAAGGGGCUCAUGACGGUACCGUAAGAAUAAGCACCGGCUAACUACGUGCCAGCCGCCGCCGUAA